UGGGGAAUCUUCCGCAAUGGGCGAAAGCCUGACGGAGCAACGCCGCGUGAGUGAUGACGGCCUUCGGUUGUAAAGCUCUGUGAUCGGGGACGAACGGUCGGCAGACGAAUACUCUGCUGAAGCGACGGUACCCGAAUAGCAAGCCACGGCUAACUACGUGCCAGCAGCCGCGGUAAUACGUGGGUGGCAAGCGUUGUCCGGAAUUAUUGGGCGUAAAGCGCGCGCAGGCGGCUUCUUAAGUCCAUCUUAAAAGUGCGGGGCUUAACCCCGUGAUGGGAUGGAAACUGAGAGGCUGGAGUAUCGGAGAGGAAAGUGGAAUUCCUAGUGUAGCGGUGAAAUG
rnacentral:rRNA from 1 species